rnacentral:misc_RNA from 1 species
GAUGAAGAACGUAGCGAAAUGCGAUAAGUAGUGUGAAUUGCAGAAUUCAGUGAAUCAUCGAAUCUUUGAACGCACAUUGCGCCCCUCGGUAUUCCGUGGGGCACGCCUGUUCGAGCGUCAUUUACACCCUCAAGCGCAGCUUGGUGUUGGGCGUCUGUCCCGCUCUCCGUAGCGCGGACUCGCCUCAAAGUCAUUGGCGGCGGUCGUGCCGGCUCCUCGCGCAGCACAUUUGCGCUUCUCGGAGGCCCGGCGGAUCGGCAUCCAGCAAGCUACUUUUUAUGACUUGACCUCGGAUCAGGUGAGGAUACCCGCUGAACUUAAGCAUGUCAAUAAGCGAGGA